AGGAAGGCCAUCCUACCUGAUGGACGUUACAAACCCAGACUGGGCACCCAGCUUACACUUGGGGUAUGACAGAAACUCAGCUGCUAAAUCUGAAGCAAGGCACCAGCGACGUUGCAAGAGGGCUGCGACCUCAAAGGAGAUCCAAGAGGGCAAUAGCAGAGUUCUCCAGCCUUCAAAUGUGUUGAACGUGCAGCACAGCGCUGUGUGCAGAACUGUCACGGGCACACCACUUGCACGCCCUGUUACAGCACAUAACAAGGAAGCUGAUGAGCCAC